UACGUAGGGUGCGAGCGUUAAUCGGAAUUACUGGGCGUAAAGCGUGCGCAGGCGGUUCGUUAAGUCAGGUGUGAAAUCCCCGGGCUUAACCUGGGAACUGCGUUUGAAACUACAAGGCUAGAGUGUGGCAGAGGGGGGUGGAAUUCCACGUGUAGCAGUGAAAUGCGUAGAGAUGUGGAGGAACACCGAUGGCGAAGGCAGCCCCCUGGGUUAACACUGACGCUCAGGCACGAAAGCGUGGGGAGCAAACAGG
rnacentral:rRNA from 1 species